CAGAGUUUGAUCCUGCUCAGGAUGAACGCUAGCGGCAGGCCUAACACAUGCAAGUCGAGGGGCAGCGGGGUGUAGCAAUACACUGCCGGCGACCGGCGCACGGGUGCGUAACGCGUAUGCAACCUACCCAUAACAGGGGCAUAACACUGAGAAAUUGGUACUAAUUCCCCAUAACAUUCGAAGAGGCAUCUCUUUGGGUUGAAAACUCCGGUGGUUAUGGAUGGGCAUGCGUUGUAUUAGCUAGUUGGG
rnacentral:rRNA from 1 species